rnacentral:piRNA from 1 species
GUCUGUUUUCUUUAGUGCUGUGGGU